UGUAUAAUGGGUCAGCGACUUAUAUUCUGUAGCAAGGUUAACCGAAUAGGGGAGCCGAAGGGAAACCGAGUCUUAACUGGGCGUUAAGUUGCAGGGUAUAGACCCGAAACCCGGUGAUCUAGCCAUGGGCAGGUUGAAGGUUGGGUAACACUAACUGGAGGACCGAACCGACUAAUGUUGAAAAAUUAGCGGAUGACUUGUGGCUGGGGGUGAAAGGCCAAUCAAACCGGGAGAUAGCUGGUUCUCCCCGAAAGCUAUUUAGGUAGCGCCUCGUGAAUUCAUCUCCGGGGGUAGAGCACUGUUUCGGCAAGGGGGUCAUCCCGACUUACCAACCCGAUGCAAACUGCGAAUACCGGAGAAUGUUAUCACGGGAGACACACGGCGGGUGCUAACGUCCGUCGUGAAGAGGGAAACAACCCAGACCGCCAGCUAAGGUCCCAAAGUCAUGGUUAAGUGGGAAACGAUGUGGGAAGGCCCAGACAGCCAGGAUGUUGGCUUAGAAGCAGCCAUCAUUUAAAGAAAGCGUAAUAGCUCACUGGUCGAGUCGGCCUGCGCGGAAGAUGUAACGGGGCUAAACCAUGCACCGAAGCUGCGGCAGCGACACUGUGUGUUGUUGGGUAGGGGAGCGUUCUGUAAGCCUGUGAAGGUGUGCUGUGAGGCAUGCUGGAGGUAUCAGAAGUGCGAAUGCUGACAUAAGUAACGAUAAAGCGGGUGAAAAGCCCGCUCGCCGGAAGACCAAGGGUUCCUGUCCAACGUUAAUCGGGGCAGGGUGAGUC
rnacentral:rRNA from 1 species